rnacentral:tRNA from 1 species
GCUCCCAUGGUGUAAUGGUCACAGCGCUCGCUUUGCACGCGGGAGACCCGGGUUCGAUUCCCGGCAGGGACA